AUAGAUUAUCUUGAGAGUAAUGUGACUGGGGUAGAGUCUUUUCUGCACAAUUCUGUCGUCUCGGGCUCUUUUCCUAGAAUUGAAGACUAGGAACCAGGCGACCAGGGAGAAAUUCCAGUGAAGGGAUUUCCCACUGAAACAAACAAUCUCUCCUCUUAGCAGACUCUAUUGUCCUUGGCUCGACCAACACACGGAAACUUCUCUCUUCAGUGCUAAGGACUUGGCGGUUGUGAAGUCCAUCAUGUGACGGGGCCCCACAAAGAGGGACACAGUUUCCAGCUGACUACUCAAGGUUUUCACAUCUCUUCCCCAGCAAUAGCAGGUGCUAUAUUGUGCCAAGGUGCCAGGUAGUGAUGACAGUGGUUCUCCGUUGGGUUUCCCAGACAACUCUCGAUACUCAAAGCGGCCAAUGUUCACAGCACAAAACCAGCAGCGGUUCCCAGGGAAGACUAGACGUUUCCUGAUCGCAGUCCAAAGGCCUAUUGUGCACAGCUCUGACCUACUUGAGAUUAAAAAAAAGAAGAAAUUU